GAGUCGGUUAGCUCAGUUGGUUAGAGCAUGAUGCUGAUAACACCAAGGUUGUGGGUUCGAUCCCUGUUCGGUCCA
rnacentral:tRNA from 1 species